rnacentral:rRNA from 1 species
GUUGAGUAGCUUGCUACUCUUUGCCGGCCUGCGCCCACCGGGUGAGUAAUGCCUGGGGAUCUGCCCAGUCCAGGUGCAUAACCCCGGAGAACGACUGCUAAUUCCGCAUACGUUUCAAGGGGGAAAGCAGGGCACCUGCGGGCAUUGCGCGAUUUUAUUCACCCGGGUGCGAUUCGCUGGUUGAAGUGGUAAUGUCUCUUCCCGCCGCCGCUCCCCUUGUGGGCUGAGAGGAUGCUCCGCCCCUCUGAUCCUAACCAUGGAUCAACACUUCAACGGGAGGCAGCAGUGGGGAAUAUUGCACAAUGGGGGAAACCCUGAUGCAGCCAUGCCGCGUGUGUGAAGAAGGCCUUCGGGUUGUAAAGCACUUUCAGCGAGGAGGAAAGGUUGGUAGCGAAUAACUGCCAGCUGUGACGUUACUCGCAGAAGAAGCACCGGCUAACUCCGUGCCAGCAGCCGCGGUAAUACGGAGGGUGCAAGCGUUAAUCGGAAUUACUGGGCGUAAAGCGCACGCAGGCGGUUGGAUAAGUUAGAUGUGAAAGCCCCGGGCUCAACCUGGGAAUUGCAUUUAAAACUGUCCAGCUAGAGUCUUGUAGAGGGGGGUAGAAUUCCAGGUGUAGCGCUGAAAUGCGUAGAGAUCUGGAGGAAUACCGGUGGCGAAGGCGGCCCUCUGGACAAAGACUGACGCUCAAGUGCGAAAGCUGUGAGGAGCAAACAGGAUGAUAUACCCUGGUAGUCCACGCCGUAAAUGAUGUCGAUGUGGAGCUGUGUCC